AUCACAACUUUAGUUGGGAUUAGUCACUACCUUGCAACCUUUUGGGUUUUAAGCAUCGUUAUUUUCUAAACAGUUAACACUACCAUAUCAUCUCUACUAUAGAGACAAUCAAUUAGAUUACUAUAAUCCAAUCAUUGAUUAAUAAAGAACAAUGUUUUGUCAAACAAAACAUUCAUCCAUCUCUACUAUAGUGACAGAAUUAAGUUCCUUAAAAUUGGAAUGUAAAGACUAUCUUUGGUUUUUCCAAUUUCUUUGGUAGUUCAUAUGAGGAAGUAAGUACCAUCUGCUUUCG
rnacentral:lncRNA from 1 species